GGCACAUGUGGAUACGUGCAAGGUCGC
rnacentral:piRNA from 1 species